rnacentral:rRNA from 1 species
UAGGGAAUCUUCCACAAUGGGCGAAAGCCUGAUGGAGCAACGCCGCGUGUGUGAUGAAGGGUUCCGGCUCGUAAAACACUGUUGUAAGAGAAGAAUGACAUUGAGAGUAACUGUUCAAUGUGUGACGGUAUCUUACCAGAAAGGAACGGCUAAAUACGUGCCAGCAG